GUGCUCACUUCAGCAGCACAUAGACCAAAAUUGGAACGAUACAGAGAAGAUCAGCACGGCCCCUGCGCAAGGAUGACACGAAAAUUCGUGAAGUGUUCCAUAUUUAA
rnacentral:snRNA from 1 species